AGGGAUGCCGAGGAAAGAUUACUGAAGGAGGGAGGUGCACGUGCACCAAGAGGCUUAGUAAUUGAAGAGAUAAAUGAAGAUGAGAGUGCAGCUUCUUAUGACAUUAAACGUUCAUCAACACAGUGUUCAGUCACAAUCACGAGACAUCAGUGACUCAGGUAAAACAGAGAGAGUGUCUUCCAAUGGUGGUCUGUCAACCAAUUCUGAGCAUUUGCAGGCUUUAAAAAAUGAUCCUGAAGCUAUUAGUUGGUGAACACAGGAAAGGAAAGGGCAAAAGUCAGCCUUCUUUUUACAUGGGAGAAUUAUUGGUCAAACUGCUUUAAAUGGGAAGUACCAAUGGAUUCAAGCUGAUGGGCCAAGUGGGGAAUGGAAUUCUUUCAGAUCUACUGAAAAUAAACACACAUUUCAGGAUGAUUCUGAGGUUUGCUAUCAGUUUUCCUCUGGAAUAAAGACCAUUGUGGUAGUACCGGUUGAACCACGAGGACUAGUACAGUUUGGAUCUACUGAGAAG